rnacentral:lncRNA from 1 species
GCUAUCCUGAAAAUUUUAUCAACAAACGGGGUGAGCAUAAAGAGCUCAGCAAGUAACUAACAUAUCCAUAUCAAAAGAGGACAAUUUCCAAAGAGAUAAAGUUUCACAAUACAAGGCAGGAUAUAAGAACUCAUAGACAUAAUAUCAUUAGGUGCAGAAUCACAAGGUCAUUUCAAUCAAACAUACUUGGUUCAUAACAGAUGGGGCAUAGAGUAAUUGGAGCAUGUCAGUAAUAAAUGAAACAUUU